GAUGAACGCUGGCGGCGUGCCUAAUACAUGCAAGUCGAGCGAACAGACGAGGAGCUUGCUCCUCUGACGUUAGCGGCGGACGGGUGAGUAACACGUGGAUAACCUACCUAUAAGACUGGGAUAACUUCGGGAAACCGGAGCUAAUACCGGAUAAUAUAUUGAACCGCAUGGUUCAAUAGUGAAAGACGGUUUUGCUGUCACUUAUAGAUGGAUCCGCGCCGCAUUAGCUAGUUGGUAAGGUAACGGCUUACCAAGGCAACGAUGCGUAGCCGACCUGAGAGGGUGAUCGGCCACACUGGAACUGAGACACGGUCCAGCCUCCUACGGGAGGCAGCAGGAGGGAAUCUUCCGCAAUGGGCGAAAGCCUGACGGAGCAACGCCGCGUGAGUGAUGAAGGUCUUCGGAUCGUAAAACUCUGUUAUUAGUGAAGAACAAAUGUGUAAGUAACUAUGCACGUCUUGACGGUACCUAAUCAGAAAGCCACGGCUAACUACGUG
rnacentral:rRNA from 1 species